CCUCAUUCGACGCUUUCAAGCAAGCCUCAUUCAACCAGAUGGUGGUCUGUACCUCGAUAGAAUGGAAGAGUUCUUCAGAGAAAUUGACGAUCGGACUGCUUUAGCUAGACGCCUAAGGCAUCAUGCAGUUUUGACACCGGAGCAGAUGAUUACAGAGACAAGCAGUACCUCUGACACACAGCCUGAUCAACAAGAUUACUGAUGCGUUCCACAGUACACCAGUUCUUGAGGCAUUUGGGAUAUUUCAGAUUGGCAAUGUUCCUGAAAACAUGGCAGAUAUGUCUGCGUAUGGAGAUAUUGAGAUUAACAACCUAGCAGAGCAUUAUGGUCAGCCCAAGGUAGAUGUCUACAAUGGACACAGAACUGUGGCAGAACCAAGACAUGCUGCAGCAGACAUGCGCACACAGUGGCCACUAUUUAGACCUCAGCUGAGUUUAAU